rnacentral:rRNA from 1 species
ACGCUGGCGGCAGGCCUAACACAUGCAAGUCGAGCGGAAACGACACUAUCGAUUCUUCGGAUGAGUUAAUGGGCGUCGAGCGGCGGACGGGUGAGUAAUGCCUAGGAAAUUGCCUUGAUGUGGGGGAUAACCAUUGGAAACGAUGGCUAAUACCGCAUAAUGCCUACGGGCCAAAGAGGGGGAUCUUCGGACCUCUCGCGUCAAGAUAUGCCUAGGUGGGAUUAGCUAGUUGGUGAGGUAAUGGCUCACCAAGGCGACGAUCCCUAGCUGGUCUGAGAGGAUGAUCAGCCACACUGGAACUGAGACACGGUCCAGACUCCUACGGGAGGCAGCAGUGGGGAAUAUUGCACAAUGGGCGAAAGCCUGAUGCAGCCAUGCCGCGUGUAUGAAGAAGGCCUUCGGGUUGUAAAGUACUUUCAGUUGUGAGGAAGGGUGUGUAGUUAAUAGCUGCRCAUCUUGACGUUAGCAACAGAAGAAGCACCGGCUAACUCCGUGCCAGCAGCCGCGGUAAUACGGAGGGUGCGAGCGUUAAUCGGAAUUACUGGGCGUAAAGCGCAUGCAGGUGGUUCAUUAAGUCAGAUGUGAAAGCCCGGGGCUCAACCUCGGAACUGCAUUUGAAACUGGUGAACUAGAGUGCUGUAGAGGGGGGUAGAAUUUCAGGUGUAGCGGUGAAAUGCGUAGAGAUCUGAAGGAAUACCAGUGGCGAAGGCGGCCCCCUGGACA